CUCAUAUGAAAAAUUUUUCUACAAGAAUUGACUAAAAGGCAGCCGAAUAUCAGAAAAUAAAGCGAGAAAUCUGUUUUAAUACUUCACCUCUUUAUUUCGCCAUGCACUAAAUUUUUAA